rnacentral:misc_RNA from 1 species
GAUGAAGAACGCAGUGAAGUGCGAUAAGUAAUGUGAAUUGCAGAAUUCCGUGAAUCAUCGAAUUUUUGAACGCAAAUUGCACUCUCUGGUAUUCCGGAGAGUAUGCCUGUUUGAGGGUCAGUAAAAUAAAAAUCGAUGUUGUUGUCAAUGAUAACGCGUCGGAAUUGAGUCGUCUUACCUUUGGUUAAGUGACUUAAAAUUUUUACGCGAAUUCGAAACGUAUUUAAUGUUUAUGUACGUUUGCGAUAUUCCAAUAUUUAUUAGGUGCGGUCAUUCCUAUGAUUCGCGUCUAUAAUUUUUCAUUUCUUGACCUCAAAUCAGGUAAGAGUACCCGCUGAACUUAAGCAUAUCAAUAAGCGGAGGA